GUCAUUAACAUGACAGAAGCAUUUACAAGGAAGAUUCAAGUCAUAAAUGGAGUUGAAGGAGCGGAUUUGGCAAAGGUGCAACACAUACCCUUCCAGUCUCUUCAUCUAUGCAGCAAUAGACUUGGUAGAGUUAGAGAUCAUAAAAAGCAAAGGUAAACAUUAUUUUGCUUUUAUUUUUGGCAAAGAUUAGCACUUCUGUUACAUACAUAAUACAUUAUUAAUUACGAAAGUAACUACGUACACUGUUCUGUGGAUCA
rnacentral:misc_RNA from 1 species